rnacentral:rRNA from 1 species
GAUGAACGCUGGCGGCGUGCCUAAUACAUGCAAGUCGAGCGAACGGACGAGAAGCUUGCUUUUCUGAUGUUAGCGGCGGACGGGUGAGUAACACGUGGAUAACCUACCUAUAAGACUGGGAUAACUUCGGGAAACCGGAGCUAAUACCGGAUAAUAUUUUGAACCGCAUGGUUCAAAAGUGAAAGACGGUCUUGCUGUCACUUAUAGAUGGAUCCGCGCUGCAUUAGCUAGUUGGUAAGGUAACGGCUUACCAAGGCAACGAUGCAUAGCCGACCUGAGAGGUGGAUCGGCCACACUGGAACUGAGACACGGUCCAGACUCCUACGGGAGGCAGCAGUAGGGAAUCUUCCGCAAUGGGCGAAAGCCUGACGGAGCAACGCCGCGUGAGUGAUGAAGGUCUUCGGAUCGUAAAACUCUGUUAUUAGGGAAGAACAUAUGUGUAAGUAACUGUGCACAUCUUGACGGUACCUAAUCAGAAAGCCACGGCUAACUACGUG